rnacentral:lncRNA from 1 species
CACCUCCCUUUUCUUUAGCGUCUUCAUUAUUUUAUCUUUCUGACGUAACGCUCACGUCGGCAGCUGAUCUACACCAUGUCCGAACUUGAAGCUGGGUACCGGAGGUUCGGGAACGUCCGAGCGGCUUGGAAGGACAGGGCGGCGGCGGCCGAAGCCGACCGGGCAAUGCUGGUCGACCACCUGAAGCAGUCGACCGAUC